AAAAGUAGAAUUGGGGUUUCCUCUACAAUGUUUUUCGUUUUCUCUCUUUUUUUUACAUCUUUUUCCAUUAGUUUCCCCCAAAACCCUUAAUUUUCAUCUUCUUAAUUUCGUCAUAGGCAGAAACAGUCGCAUUCACUGAGAGAGUUCGAAUUCAAUUUCUUCCACAAGCACUUAGUUCAUCUCAAUUUCGAUUCUUCUUCUUCACUCGUUGAGGAGGAGAGGCCUCAAUACUUAAUAUGAUGAACAGUCCACUCGGAGAUAAAUACGACCUGGGAACUGGAGAUGUUUAGUAAGAAAGGUAUCUUAUUUGAUGGGGUAUUGCCCUGCAAGUUGUCAUGGUGAAGCAGACUAAGGCCAAGCAGGCGCUGCUGAGUUAUAUUUUGUGCAGGGUCGAGACUAACAGCUAUCCACUCGGUAUAUGUUGCAUUGUUGCAUCCAACUGCUAUUGAGUGUCGUAUUGGUUCUUGUGAACCUAGGGACAUAGCCUUUUAGUGUCUCAAUAAUUUGGUUAGGCACUUUGACAAUUUAUCUUGCAGAAUUUCUUCUUUAGGUUUGAAAUAUUUUUUUAAUACAAUAUAUUCUUUUCCUAGGAUAACUUAGUACUUAAUGCCUCUUAUAGAUAAUAGAAUUCAGUUUUAGCCUUUUAUACCGGCAAGUCACAUCAUUAGUUUAAGAUGAUUUGACUUACCAUCUACAACUCUUUUUACGCUGAUGUGUUAGUUUAUAUCAGCAGGGUAACUUAUUAGUUUACGCCCUUUUCAUCAAAUUAGAAUCCAGAGUUGUGCUUGAAGUUUGUUAGUUGUUAGUGAAACUGGUGGUCUAGGCACUAGUCCAAGCAAGCAUACCGGUGGUUCCAGGUUAACAGUGGAGCAUACUAUAAAAUUAGUAAAUUUUGUACUUUAAUACUUCCUCCGUCCCAUUUUAUGUGUCAUCAUUUCCUUUUUGGUCCGUCCCAAAAAAAAAGUCAUCUUUCCUUAUUUGGUAACUAGUAAAACACACAAUUCCAGUUUUACCUUUAUUGGUCCCACUUAAUUAAAAAAAAAGUUAGUAGCACAUUUUUUGAUGGGCAAUUUGGUAAAAAUUACCAAGUCUUUCUUUAUUUCUUAAACUUUGUGCCCGAUCAAAUGGUAAAACAUAAAAUAGGACGGAGGGAGUAGAUUAAUUCUUUGACUUUAUCUCCGAUUUUAAUGUUGAACUUUUUUUCAUGCAACUGAAAUGGGCCGUGAACCAAAUUCAUGGGAGAUAUUUAAGAAGUUGCACCCAAAAAAGGAUGACAGUUUUGUUGAUGCCAAGUCGAAGAGCAUUAAUGGUCACUUGUUAAGAAUCAGCUGGUAAAUCAUCUUGCACUUGGUAUUGCCUUGCGAGCUGUCUUGGAUGCAUUGCGCAAGCCUGCUGAUUCAAGGGUUUAUUUUCAGUGAUUACGCUUAUUUUAAAUGUUAUUUCUGGUUCAUAUUUGAUAGCUUCCUUGAGGAGUGCUUUGUUUAUCGAUAUACCUGUAGUCGUACUGUCAUGCAUGUGUCUUGUAGUUUCUUAUUUAUGGUGUUUUGGUGAUGUUUGGGAUUUCGGAUAGAUAGUUCAUAGUAUUACUCUGUGGAUGUCUUGUUUUUUUAUUAUCAAGUGGUGUGUUACCCCA